rnacentral:lncRNA from 1 species
UGACAGUGGUAUAGGAUAUUCCAGCUUAAUGUUUGUUAUGUUUUUGUCUUUGUUAGUAUAUUCAGCAAUAUCUGUGAGAAGAGACUGAGCAUCUAACAUGUGGAUGAAAUUUUCAGUGUUCAAGGGCCACAGCUGCUGCUUGCUGCCUCUACAUUUCAAUGUGAAUCCCCUUAGAUGUCUUUGCCAUCACUUCUUUUCCCAGCUUGGAGUGCCUAGGCUGAGCUCAAGUGUAUGUCUGGAAAGAGAAAGAGAAAAUCCAUCAGUUUCAGUUGUGCCAGUGGAUAAACAGUUGCUAUCACGGGUACUUCUGCAGAGCCUGCUUUCUUUCUGAACUGGGGAAUCAUGAAGUCUUGGGUAAUAGUGAGAACAGACUGCGUUAGUGUCUCUAGAACAAACGUCUAACCCAUGUAUUGUGCGUAAAAUGCUGAUUUAUGUCAAUAGCACCCUCUUACUAUUCCCAGAAACCAUGAAUUUCUACAACAAACUACAUAAGAAACUGAAAUUACAGAGUGCUAAUCCCCACUUUUAAUGGAACACUGUAUGUAAAUGCCAUAUCCUCUAUUUAUUAGAAUAAUCUAAGUGAAAAUUUAUAUCAGUCCUUAAAAUAAACUGAGGACAAUAUAGAGAGAGGAGAUUAAA